GAUGAACGCUGGCGGCGUGCUUAACACAUGCAAGUCGAACGGAAAGGCUCCUGCUUGCAGGGGUACUCGAGUGGCGAACGGGUGAGUAACACGUGGGUGAUCUGCCCUGCACUUCGGGAUAGGCCUGGGAAACUGGGUCUAAUACCGGAUAGGACGAUGGUUUGGAUGCCAUUGUGGAAAGUUUUUCGGUGUGGGAUGAGCUCGCGGCCUAUCAGCUUGUUGGUGGGGUAAUGGCCUACCAAGGCGUCGACGGGUAGCCGGCCUGAGAGGGUGUACGGCCACAUUGGGACUGAGAUACGGCCCAGACUCCUACGGGAGGCAGCAGUGGGGAAUAUUGCACAAUGGGCGCAAGCCUGAUGCAGCGACGCCGCGUGGGGGAUGACGGCCUUCGGGUUGUAAACUCCUUUCGCUAGGGACGAAGCGCAAGUGACGGUACCUGGAGAAGAAGCACCGGCUAACUACGUG
rnacentral:rRNA from 1 species